rnacentral:rRNA from 1 species
AUGCAGAAGUCUGACCAUCACGAGCAGAAUCUUACUUCACCAAGGGGACUGAUCCAUAAAGUGCUUCGUCGUACAAAUAGCAGGCGAUCUCCAACUGCAGCAGAGCAAGAUCCUUCUCCUGUAUUUCCAGAAACAAGCAAUACUAAGUUCUUAAAGCAAAAAAAUGUAGAAGAUGCAAGCAAAGAUCCAGAAAAGGGGAGCACUCACGAUAACCGAAUUGAAGAUGAGAAGUCUGAUUUGCUAGGAUACGAAGUUUGUUCUGGGAAGCUUACGUUAGAUAACAAAGGCAGAAGCGUUUCAGGUGAACAGUCGGGAUCAGGGUCUAGUGGUAAUUGUUUUGAUGCUAGGCUCACCACUGAAGCCUUAGUAUGGGGCUCUAACAUCCUUAAGCUCGAGGACAUUGUAUCUGUAUCAUACAAUGCUGGGCUUCGGCAUUUCAUCGUGCAUGCAUGCCCUCUUGAAAAGAGAUCUAAUGGACUUUCCUGCUUUAUGAAGCCUAGAAGAAUCCAGAAGGACUUGCGUUUCCUAUCUACUGCUCCACAUGAGGCCUUUCGGUGGGUUAAUGGUUUUGCAGAUCAGCAAUGCUAUGUAAAUCUGUUACCACACCCCAUGGCAUCAAGCAAAAAGCAUUCUUCUGAACUCAUUCCAUUUGAUGCCAUGCUUGAUCCAUAUGUUAAAUGUCGGUCUCCACCAAAGAUACUUGUCAUCCUGAAUCCUCGAUCUGGACAUGGUAGAUCUAGCAAAGUUUUCCACGGGAAAGUGGAGCCCAUAUUUAAGAGACAGCUUGCAGGUUUCAAGAUGGAAGUGAUUAAAACUACACAUGCUGGUCAUGCAAAAUCUCUUGUAUCAACUAUUGAUUUUAGUACCUGUCCAGAUGGAAUUGUAUGUGUCGGUGGCGAUGGAAUUGUUAAUGAGGUACUCAAUGGUCUUCUGUGCAGAGAUGAUCAAAUUGAGGCAGGCUCUCUUCCAAUUGGUAUAAUACCUGCAGGAUCUGAUAACUCACUUGUUUGGACAGUCUUGGGUGUUAAAGAUCCAAUUUCUGCAGCAUUGUCCAUUGUCAGGGGAGGUUUUACACCUAUUGAUGUUUUUUCUGUUGAAUGGAUUCAGAGUGGGACUACGCAUUUUGGCACAACAGUCUCGUAUUUUGGCUUUGUUAGUGAUGUUCUUGAGCUCUCAGAGAAAUACCAGAAGCGUUUUGGUCCUCUCCGUUACAUUGUUGCUGGUUUUCUGAAAUUCCUGUGCUUGCCAAAGUACAGUUUUGAAUUGGAGUAUCUUCCAGCAGCAGAUGUUGAUGGUGCUGGGCAUAAAAUUGUGGAGGGACAAGAAAAGGUUGAUACGUCAGACCUCUAUGACGAUGUAGUUCAGAGGUCGAGAGCAGAAUGUUUACCACGCGCCUCAAGUUUGUCUAGCAUUGAUUCAAUCAUGUCUACGAGCAUAAUGUCUGGGGGAGAACCAGAAGUUUCUAGUCCACGUGCUAAUAAUGAACCAUCUGAACUUGUGCGUGCACUUGAUCCGAAAUCAAAACGCCAGUCAUUAGGGAGGACAAGUACUUUCAAAGAACCAGAAGAAUCGCUCCAUCCUCAGGCAUCAACUCCCAGCUGGCGUAGAUCCAAAUCAAAGUCAAGGACAGAAAAAGCGUGGCCAGGUUUGACUGCUACAAAUGACACUAAAUCUUCUAAGGGCACCACAACACAUGAUAAAGAAGACACAUCAUCCACAAUUUCAGAUCCUGGACCUGCGUGGGAUACAGGACCCAAGUGGGAUAUGGAGCCUAAAUGGGAUAAUCAACCUAAUUGGGAACCUGAAACUCCUAUCGAGCUACAUGGUCCAUCAGAUGACAUUGAGCUUGGUCUGACUAAGGAACUAGUCCCAAGCUUAGAUGAAAGAUGGGUCAUUAGGAAAGGGCGCUAUCUCGGUGUAUUGGUAUGCAACCAUUCAUGCAAGACCGUGCAGAGUUUAAGUUCCCAGAUUGUUGCUCCCAAGGCUGAAUAUGACGACAACUGUCUGGACCUGCUGCUGGUUGGUGGAAGUGGGAGGCUAAGGUUAUUAAGGUUUUUGGUGCUUUUGCAGUUUGGAAAACACAUUUCUCUUCCGAAUGUGGAAUAUGUAAAGGUACGAUCCGUGAGACUUAAGGCAGGCCCGAAUACACAUGAUGGGUGUGGUAUUGAUGGGGAGCUACUCCAUGUCAAGGGGCAGGUCCGGUGCAGUUUGCUACCUCAGCAAAGUCGUUUGAUCGGCAGGCCAGCCAAAAACACUGUACAGUAA